rnacentral:rRNA from 1 species
GGGGAAUUGUUCGCAAUGGGCGCAAGCCUGACGACGCAACGCCGCGUGGAGGAUGAAGAUCUUCGGGUCGUAAACUCCUGUCGAGCGGGACGAAUGCCUUGCCGGUGAAUAUCCGGCGAGGGUGACGGUACCGCUAAAGGAAGCCCCGGCUAACUACGUGCCAGCAGCCGCGGUAAUACGUAGGGGGCAAGCGUUGUCCGGAAUCAUUGGGCGUAAAGCGCGUGUAGGCGGCUCAGUAAGUCCGCUCUGAAAGCCCGGGGCUCAACCCCGGGAGGCGGGUGGAUACUGCUGAGCUCGAGUCCGGAAGAGGAGUGUGGAAUUCCUGGUGUAGCGGUGAAAUGCGCAGAUAUCAGGAGGAACACCAAUGGCGAAGGCAGCACUCUGGGACGGUACUGACGCUGAGACGCGAAAGCGUGGGGAGCAAA